rnacentral:rRNA from 1 species
CCUACGGGGGGCAGCAGUGAGGAAUAUUGGUCAAUGGACGAGAGUCUGAACCAGCCAAGUAGCGUGAAGGAUGACUGCCCUAUGGGUUGUAAACUUCUUUUAUAUGGGAAUAAAACGUUCCACGUGUGGGAUUUUGUAUGUACCAUAUGAAUAAGGAUCCGCUAACUCCGUGCCAGCAGCCGCGGUAAUACGGAGGAUCCGAGCGUUAUCCGGAUUUAUUGGGUUUAAAGGGAGCGUAGGUGGAUUGUUAAGUCAGUUGUGAAAGUUUGCGGCUCAACCGUAAAAUUGCAGUUGAAACUGGCAGUCUUGAGUACAGUAGAGGUGGGCGGAAUUCGUGGUGUAGCGGUGAAAUGCUUAGAUAUCACGAAGAACUCCGAUUGCGAAGGCAGUUCACUGGACUGCAACUGACACUGAGGCUCGAAAGUGUGGGUAUCAAACAGGAUUAGAUACCCCAGUAGUC